GACCCCAAAAUAACAGGGGUCAAGGUCGGCCAGUGAGACGAUGGGGGAUAAGCUUCAUCGUCGAGAGGGAAAGAGCCCGGAUCACCAGCUAAGGCCCCUAAAUGACUGCUUAGUGAUAAAGGACGUGGGGGGUGCAAAGACAACCAUGAGGUUUGCCUAGAAGCAGCCACCCUUUAAAGAGUGCGUAAUAGCUCACGGAUCGAGCGCCCUUGCGCUAAAGAUGAACGGGGCUAAGCGAUCUGCCGAAGCUGUGGGAUGUCAAAAUGCAUCAGUAGGGAACGCUCCGCCUUAGAGGGAAGCAACCGCGAAAGCAGGGGUCGACGAAGCGGAAGC
rnacentral:ncRNA from 1 species